ACUAUCGAUACCGUCGAUUCAAAUCAAGCGGCCACCUCCCCGUUUGCUUAGAGAACAAGGCGGGAAAAGCAGGUGGCGGCGGCGUUGGCGUUGAUGGGCUGCGGGAGCGCGCCUAGUUUUUAACCCUCUCCCGCCUUCCUGCAUUGAAGCUGCGGCAACCGACUUGGGAAAUUUCAUCAGACACGCCACCAACUUCUUGCCUCCAGCGCUGUACUGCGAGGGAAAGGCGACGCGGACUCCCCGGGCCUGUCUGGCUAGUGCGAGUUAAGCUGCGAGCCGAAGAAGAGGAGGAAAAAGAGCAGGCGGCUCGGUCCCGGCGCUCUAGGAUAGGGCCGGGCCGAGCUGACUUGCCGGAGGAGGAGGGGCGGCGCAGCGCAUGGAAGAAUGUCUUCAGCUGCUGCUGCCGCCGCCGCCGCCGCCGCCGUGGUUCUCUCCUGCUCCCAGCUGUCAAAAUGCAGUUGAGAGAAUCCACUCACACCUCCAGCAGCAAGCGGUGCUCUGGGAGGAAGACGUGACGCUGCGCGGCAGAGCCAUGGAGGUCCCUUCAACUCCCCCGCCUCCGCCUCAUCCAGCGCCAGGCAUAGAAACCACGCUUCCUUUCAAGCCGCCUCCUGUACAAAGCAUCACAAAGUUUCUUUGUUAAGAUUUUUUUUUUCCAGGCCCUGCGUUGUGGAGAGAGAGAGAGAAGAGGGGAGGAUAAUUCGGGGGAAGAUUAUUUUGUGCACUUUGGCUUUUUAUUUAUCAUGGAUCCCACGUGAUUCCUUCCCAUAGUGACCUGCCUUUGCAAAAACCAUUAAAAGCCGAAAAUAAUUGUUGUAUGCCACAAGCCAGCACUCAGAACAGUAGCAGUUUAAAACAAUAGACAAAGGCUGCCGAGUGCAAUGUUUAAUUAAAAGCAAGCCUGGAAUAGAAUUGUUAAGACACUUCUGAAUGCUAGUAAAGAUGUGUUUUUUUGCAUAUAGGGAGAGGGGAUAUUAAAAAAAAAAAAAAAAAAACUGGGCCGCCAUCACUGAAAAAGGCCUAUGUUCAAGAGAUUAACAUGCCACCAUAUUCUAAUAUAGUUCCCCAGUCACGUCCCCAGUAUGCAUGACUGAAUUGAAAAAAAUAUAUUUUGAGAAAAGAUGGAAGAUUUACAGGUUUAACCAGAGAAGAGACUCACAAAAAUGAAGGAUGGGCAUAUGAGGAUGGACACAGGAGAGAGCCCAGGUCCUGAGAGAACAUCUUGCUGCAGUGCUAUGAUUGGCAGAUUUCCUGGCUGGCUGGCUACAUAUAGAACAGAGGAAAGCAAAAGAAUCAACCAAACUGUAGCUGUGCCUAUCAUACGCCGUGCACAUGUACAACAUUGGGAUAGAACCUUCCAGUAGUGAGUUACAACAAGAUGCUGUAGAAGCAGAAUAGAGAUUGGCAGGUAGAUAGCAAAUUUCAUGCUCCCCCCCCUCCCCCCCACUCAAUGAAUGGGUAGCACUUUAAUUCAGGAAUGUUGAAAGUCUUUGAACUGGCAAUACUGGAAUAAUAGUGGUAUUUUUUUUUAUCUUUCAGCCAAUGCCAUCUUAUAGCUUCAACAUUUUCAAAAUGUUAAUGCUUUGUCACCUUUUAUUUAUGUGCAAAUAAUCUCUCAUCUUUCUUCUAGGAGCUCAAGGUUUGGGAAUGCAUCCAAAAAUACUACUGUCAUUCCAAUGGAGCAAUUGACAAUGUAGUCUUUCUCCACUGCUGAAUUGCAGGCCAUCUGUCUAUGAAUCAUCACAAUAUAUUUAAUAAGAAUAAAAUAAGAAUAAAAUAAUGGCAACAUGAAUGCUGUUCUUAUGAUCAGUUUCUAUCCUUUUCCUACAGCAUUUCUUCAGAGUCGCUGCUAAAUGGUGAGUACACCAGUUGUAAUAUCUGGGUGAUUGGUUUUACUGGCUGACUUUGUUACACUCUCUUUUAAGUACUGUAUAACACUACAGAGCAGGAAAACAUCAGCCAGUUGGGGCACCAUGGUAGAAAUAGGAGCUAACCACCUCCUCAAGGUGGAGAGUGGCAAAACAUAACAGGUUUUGGACACCUUGAGUCCAGCCCUGGAUGAUGGAAUAAUGAAGAAAAUUUCUUAAUGCCGGUAUAGCUUAUGACUCAAGUCUGUUGUUUCCUUUCUGGGCUGCAGAGAAAAUAAUAAUAUAGUGCUUUCUCUUUUGAAGUGCUUUCCUCCCAUUGAUGAGCUGGCAGCAAACUAUACCAAGAUAAAAUUUGUUGCUCCCUCAUGUCGAUAUCUAUCCUGCCUCUAUUACUCCCAAUUCCAGCCUGCAGGAAGUUUUACUUAUUUUUUUAUAUUUAAAUCCUACCUUUUUAUUGGAGCUAGUGUGACCCUUUGCAGCUGGAUAAACUCUGAAUCCCUGUCUCAUCUUCUGUUUUCCAUAUUUUUGAAGUGCUUUUUUUUUUAACUCUGAAAAUUUACUUUGCUCCUCUCCCUCUUCCAUUGUUAAAUGUUGAUUUGAGGUUGUGGCUGAUCCAAGUCUGAUUCAAAUGGGAAGAAGCAGCACAUAGCAAAAGCUUCCAAAGACCAGGUGAGCUACAAAUUGCAGCUCCCUUUCAGCGUCACACCAAUCAGCAGGAAAAACAUCCACCAACCACAGCAUUACACCAGUUGGAGAAGGAAUGGCUUUGACUUCAGAGCAAAGACCUGAAUAUUUUGUUAUCUGUGAUAAGAAUAAAG